rnacentral:rRNA from 1 species
CUGACGAGUGGCGGACGGGUGAGUAAUGUCUGGGAAACUGCCUGAUGGAGGGGGAUAACUACUGGAAACGGUGGCUAAUACCGCAUAACGUCGCAAGACCAAAGAGGGGGACCUUCGGGCCUCUUGCCAUCAGAUGUGCCCAGAUGGGAUUAGCUUGUUGGUGAGGUAACGGCUCACCAAGGCGACGAUCCCUAGCUGGUCUGAGAGGAUGACCAGCCACACUGGAACUGAGACACGGUCCAGACUCCUACGGGAGGCAGCAGUGGGGAAUAUUGCACAAUGGGCGCAAGCCUGAUGCAGCCAUGCCGCGUGUAUGAAGAAGGCCUUCGGGUUGUAAAGUACUUUCAGCGGGGAGGAAGGUGUUGUGGUUAAUAACCGCAGCAAUUGACGUUACCCGCAGAAGAAGCACCGGCUAACUCCGUGCCAGCAGCCGCGGUAAUACGGAGGGUGCAAGCGUUAAUCGGAAUUACUGGGCGUAAAGCGCACGCAGGCGGUCUGUCAAGUCGGAUGUGAAAUCCCCGGGCUCAACCUGGGAACUGCAUUCGAAACUGGCAGGCUUGAGUCUUGUAGAGGGGGGUAGAAUUCCAGGUGUAGCGGUGAAAUGCGUAGAGAUCUGGAGGAAUACCGGUGGCGAAGGCGGCCCCCUGGACAAAGACUGACGCUCAGGUGCGAAAGCGUGGGGAGCAAACAGGAUUAGAUACCCUGGUAGUCCACGCCGUAAACGAUGUCUACUUGGAGGUUGUGCCCUUGAGGCGUGGCUUCCGGAGCUAACGCGUUAAGUAGACCGCCUGGGGAGUACGGCCGCAAGGUUAAAACUCAAAUGAAUUGACGGGGGCCCGCACAAGCGGUGGAGCAUGUGGUUUAAUUCGAUGCAACGCGAAGAACCUUACCUGGUCUUGACAUCCACAGAACUUUCCAGAGAUGGAUUGGUGCCUUCGGGAACUGUGAGACAGGUGCUGCAUGGCUGUCGUCAGCUCGUGUUGUGAAAUGUUGGGUUAAGUCCCGCAACGAGCGCAAC